rnacentral:rRNA from 1 species
GACGAACGCUGGCGGCGUGCUUAACACAUGCAAGUCGAGCGGAAAGGCUCCUUCGGGGGUACUCGAGCGGCGAACGGGUGAGUAACACGUGAGUAAUCUGCCCUGUGCUCUGGGAUAGCCACCGGAAACGGUGAUUAAUACCGGAUAUGACCAGCUACUGCAUGGUGGUUGGUGGAAAGUUUUUCGGCACAGGAUGUGCUCGCGGCCUAUCAGCUUGUUGGUGAGGUAAUGGCUCACCAAGGCUUUGACGGGUAGCCGGCCCGAGAGGGUGACCGGUCACACUGGGACUGAGACACGGCCCAGACUCCUACGGGAGGCAGCAGUGGGGAAUAUUGGACAAUGGGCGGAAGCCUGAGCCAGCAACGCCGCGUGAGGGAUGACGGCCUUCGGGUUGUAACCUCUUUCAGUACCGACGAAGCGAAAGUGACGGUAGGUACAGAAGAAGGACCGGCCAACUACGUGCCAGCCGCCGCAGUAAUAC